AUUGAACGCUGGCGGCAGGCCUAACACAUGCAAGUCGAGCGGAUGAAGGGAGCUUGCUCCUGGAUUCAGCGGCGGACGGGUGAGUAAUGCCUAGGAAUCUGCCCGGUAGUGGGGGAUAACGUCCGGAAACGGGCGCUAAUACCGCAUACGUCCUGAGGGAGAAAGUGGGGGAUCUUCGGACCUCACGCUAUCAGAUGAGCCUAGGUCGGAUUAGCUAGUUGGUGGGGUAAAGGCCUACCAAGGCGACGAUCCGUAACUGGUCUGAGAGGAUGAUCAGUCACACUGGAACUGAGACACGGUCCAGACUCCUACGGGAGGCAGCAGUGGGGAAUAUUGGACAAUGGGCGAAAGCCUGAUCCAGCCAUGCCGCGUGUGUGAUGAAGGUCUUCGGAUUGUAAAGCACUUUAAGUUGGGAGGAAGAGCAGUAAGUUAAUACAUUGCUGUUUUGACGUUACCAACAGAAUAAGCACCGGCUAACUUCGUG
rnacentral:rRNA from 1 species